GAGGAAAGGAGAGGGAGGAGGGCUGGAGAGAAGAGAGAGAGGAAAGGAGAGGGAGGAGGGCUGGAGAGAGUAAAGGAGAGGGAGGAGGGCUGGAGAGAAGAGAGAGAGGAAAGGAGAGGGAGGAGGGCUGGAGAGAGUAAAGGAGAGGGAGGAGGGCUGGAGAGAAGAGAGAGAGGAAAGGAGAGGGAGGAGGGCUGGAGAGAAGAGAGAGGAGAGGAGAGGUAGGAGGGCUGGAGAGAAGAGGGAGGAGAGGAGAGGGAGGAGGGCUGGAGAGAAGAGAGAGAGGAAAGGAGAGGGAGGAGGGCUGGAGAGAGUAAAGGAGAGGGAGGAGGGCUGGAGAGAAGAGAGAGAGGAAAGGAGAGGGAGGAGGGCUGGAGAGAAGAGAGAGAGGAGAGGAGAGGGAGGAGGGCUGGAGAGAAGAGAGAGAGGAAAGGAGAGGAGAGGUAGGAGGGCUGGAGAGAGUAAAGGAGAGGGAGGAGGGCUGGAGAGAAGAGAGAUAGGAAAGGAGAGGGAGGAGGGCUGGAGAGAGUAAAGGAGAGGGAGGAGGGCUGGAGAGAAGAGAGAGGUAAGGAGAGGAGGAGGAGGAGGGCUGGAGAGAAGAGAGAGGAGAGGAGAGGGAGGAGGGCUGGAGAGAAGAGGGAGGAGAGGAGAGGGAGGAGGGCUGGAGAGAAGAGAGAGAGGAAAGGAGAGGGAGGAGGGCUGGAGAGAAGAGAGAGAGGAGAGGGAGGAGGGCUGGAGAGAGUAAAGGAGAGGGAGGAGGGCUGGAGAGAAGAGAGAGAGGAAAGGAGAGGGAGGAGGGCUGGAGAGAAGAGAGAGGAGAGGAGAGGGAGGAGGGCUGGAGAGAAGAGAGAG
ensembl:lncRNA